rnacentral:rRNA from 1 species
AAUCUUGCACAAUGGGCGAAAGCCUGAUGGAGCAACGCCGCGUGAGUGAAGAAGGUUUUCGGAUCGUAAAACUCUGUUGUAAGGGAAGAACAAGUACAGUAGUAACUGGCUGUACCUUGACGGUACCUUAUGAGAACGCCACGGCUAAAUACGUGCCAGCAGCAGUGGUAAUACGUAGGUGGCAAGCGUUGUCGGGAAUUAUUGGGCGUAAAGCGCGCGCAGGCGGUCCUUUAAGGCUGAUGUGAAAGCCCACGGCUCAACCGUGGAGGGUCAUUGGAAACUGGGGGACUUGAGUGCAGAAGAGGAAAGUGGAAUUCCAAGUGUAUCGGUGAAAUGCGUAGAGAUUUGGAGGAACACCAGUGGCGAAGGCGACUUUCUGGUCUGUAACUGACGCUGAGGCGCGAAAGCGUGGGGAGCAAACA